AAAAUGCUGGCAAGGGAUAAUAAGCCAUGAGCAGUACAAUAUGCAUAUAGAACUUUGAAAAGAGCUUUAUACUGAUCAGAUCGCUCAGCUAGUAAAUUGUUGGGUAUACAAGACUGGCAACCUGAACUGGAUCCCCAGGACCCAUGUAAAGGUAAGAGAGAAUUAACUUCAAAGUUUUCUUUUGCUCGUCACAAAUGGGUAUGCAGGCCUGCAAAUGUUGCCUGCAUACAGACAGACAAAUAAGAAAGAGGCUUAUUUUGGUGUCACUGUUCUGAUCCAAGUUUGAGGGGCUGAAUUUGGUGAUGACAUUCUUGAAGGCUGAAUCUCCAAGUGGCAGAGGGCAACAUAGAUCACAGGUUUUGUUUUUUUUUUCUGAGGUUUUGUUUUGUUUUGUUUUGUUUUGAGAUAGCAUCUUAUGUAACCCAGAUUGGCUUGGAAUUCCCCUAUAUAACAAUGACUAUUGAACUCUUGAUUCUUUCAUCUGUCUCCUGAGUACUGGGAUUAAAGGCCUAGGCACUGUGCCUAGGUAACAGCAAUUUUAAAGUUAUAAAAAGAUGUAGUCCCUGGCCAGUGAGAGUUUUGUUUAGUUUGAUUAGCCUAAAAGGGAUUUCAUAUGGUAUUUUUCAUACAUGUCAUUAUACUUAGUUGUUAAUUCCUCCCCUCCUAUUCUACCUCACCCUUGUUUUAGUGGUUUGCGUUCUUUGGGUUUUGUCUUUGGGGUUUUUUUUUUUGUUUGUUUGUUUUGUUUUGUUUUUUUUUAGACAGGGUUUCUCUGUGUAGCCCUGGCUGUCCUGGAACUUACUCGUGUAGUUAGGCUGCUGCCUGACUUGCUGUGUAGCAUGACUUUGAAUAUUUGUAUCUCUUUAAUUUAGUAUGGAAUAUUUUUCUUUGGAUAGGCUCAAAAGUCUUGGGACAGAGAGUCCACUGAAAUUCGGUACCGCAGACUUCAGCAUUUGCUUGAAAAAAGCAAUAUCUACUCAAAAUUUUUGUUGACUAAAAUGGAACAACAGCAAUUGGAGGAACAGAAGAAGAAAGAGAAGUUGGAGAAAAAAAAACGGUCAUUAAAACUUACAGAGGGUAAAAGUUUAGUUGAUGGGAAUGGAGAGAAACCAG
rnacentral:lncRNA from 1 species